UACCUGCAGCUCAAGUGGUAACCGCUAUUAUUGGGCCUAAAGCGUCCGUAGCCGGUUUGGUAAAUAUCUGGGUAAAUCGUGAGGCUUAACUUCACGAAUUUCGGAUAGACUGCCAGACUUGGGAUCGGGGGAGGUCAGAGGUACUCCAGGGGUAGCGGUGAAAUGUUGUAAUCCUUGGAGGACCACCGGUAGCGAAGGCGUCUGACUAGAACGAGUCCGACGGUGAGGGACGGAGCCCUGGGGCGCAAACCGGAUUAGAUACCCGGGUAGUCCAGGGUGUAAACAAUGUGGGCUUUGUAUUGGAGGUUCCACGUGGGCGUCCAGUGCAGAAGAGAAGUUGUUAAGCCCACCGCCUGGGAAGUACGGUCGCAAGGCUGAAACUUAAAGGAAUUGGCGGGGAGCACAGCAACGGGAGGAGCGUGCGGUUU
rnacentral:rRNA from 1 species